GCUAAGCCUUUAACAUUGAUAGUACACUAUACCCCACUAUCCGCCAGAGAACUACAAGUGAAAAACUUUAAACUCAAAGGACUUGGCGGUGUCCCAUACCGACCUAGAGGAGCCUGUCCUAUAAUCGAUACUCCCCGUUCCACCCAACCUCUACUAGCAACCCCAGCCUAUAUACCGCCGUCGACAGUCUACCCCAUGAGGGUCCAACAGUAGACAUAAUAGCCCACCCGCUAACACGUCAGGUCAAGGUGUAGCAUAUGUUGAGGAAGAGAUUGGCUACAUUUUUUAUUUUAAAAAACACGAAAUGCAACAUGAAACCCUGCAUGAAGGUGAAUUUAGUAGUAAGAUUAAACAAGAGUGUUUGUCUUAACACCGCUCUG
rnacentral:rRNA from 1 species